GAUGAACGCUGGCGGCGUGCCUAAUACAUGCAAGUCGAGCGAACGGACGAGAAGCUUGCUUCUCUGAUGUUAGCGGCGGACGGGUGAGUAACACGUGGAUAACCUACCUAUAAGGCUGGGAUAACUUCGGGAAACCGGAGCUAAUACCGGAUGAUAUUUUGAACCGCAUGGUUCAAAAGUGAAAGACGGUCUUGCUGUCACUUAUAGAUGGAUCCGCGCUGUAUUAGCUAGUUGGUAAGGUAACGGCUUACCAAGGCAACGAUGCAUAGCCGACCUGAGAGGGUGAUCGGCCACACUGGAACUGAGACACGGUCCAGACUCCUACGGGAGGCAGCAGUAGGGAAUCUUCCGCAAUGGGCGAAAGCCUGACGGAGCAACGCCGCGUGAGUGAUGAAGGUCUUCGGAUCGUAAAACUCUGUUAUUAGGGAAGAACAUAUGUGUAAGUAACUGUGCACAUCUUGACGGUACCUAAUCAGAAAGCCACGGCUAACUACGUG
rnacentral:rRNA from 1 species